CCCUGGUUAGCUGAGUUGGUAGAGCGCUCCACCUGUAAUGGAGAGGUCCCGGGUUCGAUACCCGGACCAGGCA
rnacentral:tRNA from 2 species